rnacentral:rRNA from 1 species
AGUGAACGCUGGCGGUAGGCCUAACACAUGCAAGUCGAACGGCAGCACAGUAAGAGCUUGCUCUUACGGGUGGCGAGUGGCGGACGGGUGAGGAAUACAUCGGAAUCUACUUUUUCGUGGGGGAUAACGUAGGGAAACUUACGCUAAUACCGCAUACGACCUACGGGUGAAAGCAGGGGAUCUUCGGACCUUGCGCGAUUGAAUGAGCCGAUGUCGGAUUAGCUAGUUGGCGGGGUAAAGGCCCACCAAGGCGACGAUCCGUAGCUGGUCUGAGAGGAUGAUCAGCCACACUGGAACUGAGGCACGGUCCAGACUCCUACGGGAGGCAGCAGUGGGGAAUAUUGGACAAUGGGCGCAAGCCUGAUCCAGCCAUACCGCGUGGGUGAAGAAGGCCUUCGGGUUGUAAAGCCCUUUUGUUGGGAAAGAAAAGCAGCAGGUUAAUACCCCGCUGUUCUGACGGUGCCCAAAGAAUAAGCACCGGCUAACUUCGUG